rnacentral:rRNA from 1 species
AUUGAACGCUGGCGGCAUGCCUUACACAUGCAAGUCGAACGGCAGCACGGAGCUUGCUCUGGUGGCGAGUGGCGAACGGGUGAGUAAUAUAUCGGAACGUACCCAAGAGUGGGGGAUAACGUAGCGAAAGUUACGCUAAUACCGCAUACGAUCUAAGGAUGAAAGCAGGGGAUCGCAAGACCUUGUGCUCCUGGAGCGGCCGAUAUCUGAUUAGCUAGUUGGUGAGGUAAAGGCUCACCAAGGCAUCGAUCAGUAGCUGGUCUGAGAGGACGACCAGCCACACUGGAACUGAGACACGGCCCAGACUCCUACGGGAGGCAGCAGUGGGGAAUUUUGGACAAUGGGGGCAACCCUGAUCCAGCAAUGCCGCGUGAGUGAAGAAGGCCUUCGGGUUGUAAAGCUCUUUUGUCAGGGAAGAAACGGUGAAGGCUAAUAUCCUUUGCUAAUGACGGUACCUGAAGAAUAAGCACCGGCUAACUACGUGCCAGCCGCCGCAGUAAAAC